rnacentral:rRNA from 1 species
CAGUCGCCGCGGGAAUACGUAGGUGGCAAGCGUUGUCCGGAAUUAUUGGGCGUAAAGGGCUCGCAGGCGGUUUCUUAAGUCUGAUGUGAAAGCCCCCGGCUCAACCGGGGAGGGUCAUUGGAAACUGGGAAACUUGAGUGCAGAGGAGGAGAGUGGAAUUCCACGUGUAGCGGUGAAAUGCGUAGAGAUGUGGAGGAACACCAGUGGCGAAGGCGACUCUCUGGUCUGUAACUGACGCUGAGGAGCGAAAGCGUGGGGAGCGAACAGGAUUAGAUACCCGCGUAGUCCCUGUCUCUUAUAC